AUUCUUCUUUUCCUGUUGAGAAAAUUACUCGACAGAUUAUAUGAAGCUUUGUUAUAUUCUUGAUGGAGGAAAACUGAUAAUGUAAGGCAUGGCUUAAACAGUGUCAGUGAGUCUAGCUUUGAUGAUUGGGAAUUUUCUGGAUUUUGUGGUUACUCUAUUCAUUCUUGUUUUUGAUUAGUCAAUGAUUCCAAAAUUUGUUGAUUUGGCAAAAUAAAUUUGUUGAGGCAAUGAGAUGGCAGCGACUAUGAUAUCUGUUUUAGUUUCUAAAAUUUGUGAAAGUUGCUGUCUGCUGACUCUUGGAAUUGAGAGUUCCAGUUCCAGAUUUAGAUUGAGGUCUUGUGAUUGUUAACUGCUGGACAAGAAGUCGAGUAUAGACUAUGGGAUCCUUGCUACAGGUUAUACGUUCCGAUCUCUAGUUUUUCUAACAAUUUAUGUCUCUGUCUAUGCCUUCUUGAUUUAAGCUCUUUGUAUAAUAUUUUGACUGGAUGCUUUUCUUAUAAUAUUUGUCAUUAGCAUUAACUAGCCCUGUUCUCAUCCGAUGGAUCUGUGAUAACGGCUUUUAUCUAUUGAUUUUGAAACAGAAUCACCAGAAAGAGAGUGAGUUCCUUUAGCAAAGAACAAGAAACACUUAUUAAGGAACUACACGAGAAGUUCAAAAACCAAUACUGAAAGGAAAAACUUGUGGCUUUACUUUAGAAAUUUAAGCUUUGGAUACUUGAUUUAAUGACUUGACUACUCCCUUUGGAUAUUUUGUUUACUUUAAAAUGUUAAGCUUUAAAUAUU